rnacentral:lncRNA from 1 species
UGAAUUAAUUGUAUAAGAUGAUUCCAUGAAAGGUUUUUCUCCCAACCUGAGUAAAAUGAUUUGACAAUCUUGACUGUUUCUCUUUACUGAUAAUAUUUCUAAUAGUUGAUGCAAGAUCGAGUAAUUUGAGUUGCGUACCUGAGAUUCUUAUACAUUUAUCUAGAUUUAAAGUUUACUGGUUAUUUUAGUCUACAUAUAUGAUAACUUGUAAAUAUAUGGA